UAACGAAUUGUAAUGGGAGUUGAUGCUGGUAGCUUGGCUGCAUGUGCUCGCUCCUAACAAUUGAAACACCUGUGCACAUUUAGAGAGGGGGGGUCUCGGUUGUAGUCCUUUCCUCUCAUUAUAGACUUUAUUUUAAUAUUGAACGUGAUUGUGCCGUGAGGCCUUAAUAUGAAUAUAACUUUUAACAACGGAUCUCUUGGCUCUCGCAUCGAUGAAGAACGCAGCGAAAUGCGAUAAGUAAUGUGAAUUGCAGAAUUCAGUGAAUCAUCGAAUUUUUGAACGCACCUUGCGCUCCCUGGUAUUCUGGGGAGCACGCCUGUUCGAGUGUCAUGCAAUUAUCAAACUGAGAUGCAUUUUUUUGUGUCUCAGGUUGGUGUUGGGCUUUGCAGUCCCUUUGAUCGGGACGGCUGGCCUCAAAAGCAUUAGCUGGCCCCUUCUUGGGGGAAUUGGUUCUACUCACCGGGAUA
rnacentral:rRNA from 1 species